GAGGGUAUAGCUCAGUGGUAGAAUGUGUGCUUAGCAUGCAUGAGGUCCUGGGUUCAAUCCCCAGUACCUCCA
rnacentral:tRNA from 1 species